rnacentral:rRNA from 1 species
UGCGGAGGAUGCAAGCGUUAUCCGGAAUGAUUGGGCGUAAAGCGUCCGCAGGUGGCUGUGUAAGUCUGCUGUCAAAGAGCGAAGCUCAACUUCGUAAAGGCAGUGGAAACUACACGGCUAGAGUGCGUUCGGGGCAGAGGGAAUUCCUGGUGUAGCGGUGAAAUGCGUAGAGAUCAGGAAGAACACCGGUGGCGAAGGCGCUCUGCUAGGCCGCAACUGACACUGAGGGACGAAAGCUAGGGGAGCGAAUGGG